CCCUUAGAUGUUCUGGGCUGCACGCGCGCUACACUGAUGCAUUCAGCAAGUCUACAACCUUCUUCGAGAGAAGUGGGUAAUCUUCUGAAAGUGCAUCGUGAUGGGGAUAGAUUAUUGCAAUUAUUAAUCUUCAACGAGGAAUGCCUAGUAAGCGCGAGUCAUCAACUCGCGUUGAUUACGUCCCUGCCCUUUGUACACACCGCCCGUCGCUCCUACCGAUUGAACGUGCUGGUGAAGCGUUAGGACUGGACUGUUGCCUAGGUCUCCUAGGCUUCAGUCCGGGAAUUUCGUUAAACCCUCCCGUUUAGAGGAAGGAGAAGUCGUAACA
rnacentral:rRNA from 1 species